AUUUUAUUUUAUUUUAUUUUAAUUAGAGAAAUAUGGAGAAAGCAAGUUUCUUUACUAACCAACAAACAACAACAAUUUUUACAACUUGAAAGUUUGAUUUAGUUAGUUCAAUAGCUAUCUGCUGCCAAUUAUAUUCUUCUUGUCAUUAACCCUCAUAAAGUUAAUUUUCUUUAUUAGAAUAUCUUUGUUGUUUAGUCUAUGCAAAUAAAGCUAAAAUAAUUUGUAGUUUUGACAAUUUUAUCUCAAUGUCAAAUUAAACUUGAUUGCAUUGUCAUGAGAAUCGGAUUGGCCCAGCUGGUUUGAUCAAAAGCCAGAUCAGUGACUUGUCUGGUUUAAGAGUGAAACUCUAUUUUGAAGAGAAUCGGGAUGACUAUUAUGAGCCGGUGGAUAACCAGGUGAACCGGCCAACCCAAUUAUUCAAAACGUAUUGAUCAACUCAAUAAAAAAUAUUUUGAGGGAAGCUUGCGGAAGGACUCGAACCUGCACCCUAGUAAUCCCAUAUUGUGCUGUUUGCCAUCUCAUUUGGGAGUCACUUUUGGGCGUUGCUCUGACACAUUUCUUAUCAUAUAAUAUAUACAAUAAUGCCUCAA
rnacentral:misc_RNA from 1 species